rnacentral:ncRNA from 2 species
CAUGCCGAGGGGCGCUGCAACGGUAAGACCGUCAGGCUCGGCAUGGCGUGGCUUUCCAAAAGCCAACGGCGCCCGUUCAAC